rnacentral:rRNA from 1 species
UACGGGGGGAGCAAGCGUUGUUCGGAUUUACUGGGCGUAAAGGGCGCGUAGGCGGUCAGCACAAGUCAGUUGUGAAAUCUCCGGGCUUAACUCGGAAAGGUCAACUGAUACUGUGCGACUAGAGUGCAGAAGGGGCAACUGGAAUUCUCGGUGUAGCGGUGAAAUGCGUAGAUAUCGGAAGGAACAUCAGUGGCGAAAGCGGCUUCCUGGUCCAGCAUCGACGUUCAGGCACGAAAGCGUGGGGAGCAAACAGG